UCUGGUGUCAGCCGCCGCGGUAAUACCAGCUCUCCGAGUGGUAGGGAUGAUUAUUGGGCUUAAAGCGUCCGUAGCCGGCUUAGCAAGUCUCCUGUUAAAUUCAGCGACCUAAUCGUUGAGCCGCGGGAGAUACUACUAGGCUAGGAGGCGGGAGAGGCCGACGGUAUUCUCGGGGUAGGGGUGAAAUCCUAUAAUCCCGGGAGGACCACCAGUGGCGAAGGCUGUCGGCUAGAACGCGCCCGACGGUGAGGGACGAAAGCUGGGGGAGCGAACCGGAUUAGAUACCCGGGUAGUCCCAGCAGUAAACGAUGCGGGCUAGGUGUUGGGGCGGCUACGAGCCGCCUCGGUGCCGCACGGAAGCAAUUAA
rnacentral:rRNA from 1 species